rnacentral:lncRNA from 1 species
GCCCUUAACAAAUUUCAUCAUUAUUAUUUCCUUCUCUUUCUCUCCUUCCUUCUCUCUUUUCCUUCCUUCUCUCUCUUUUCCUUCUCUUUUUCUUCCUUCCUUCUCUCUCCUCUCUUUUCCUUCUUUUUCUCCUUCCUUUUCUCUCUUCCCUUCCUUCCCUCUCUCUUCCUCUCCUUCCUUCUGUUUUUCUUCCUUCCCUUUCUCUCUCUUCCUUUCUUUCUUUCCCUCCUCCCCCCCGUGCUUCCCCUGACACACGUGUGUGCGCGCCUCGCCCCGCCCCGCCCCGCAGCCGGCCGGGCAUCUGACUGCCAGGAACCGCCCCCGAAAGCGUGCCCGGGCAGGUCCUGGCGGGUCCAGCCCAGACGCCCGCCAACUGACCAGGUGAGGGGCGCCCCCCCCAUGCCCCUGGUGCCCCCCCCCUCCCGGCCCGCAGCUGGGGCAAUCACCGCCUCCCGCCCAGGGAGCACGCCCGAGCCAAGGGGCAACCUGGGCGGCCUGCCUGCUUCUCUCUGCAAGGUUUGGGCCGGGAGGCCCCUAUAAUCUUGAAGCUGGCCCAGCCCAAGAGGAUUUCUUUCAGAUGGUGCCCCACUUCUUAUCGGCUGCCUCACUGCCUCCCACCCAUUUUCCUGCUCAUCCUCUGCCAGCGUGAACGAGGGGCAGGAGUGUUUCAAAGAGCGUAACUGCAAAGGUUUGGUGUGGGUGUGGAGGGGUUGGGUGAUUGGGGUGUCUUGGGUAAUAUGUGAUGUCAAAGUAAUAAUAGUAAUAAUAACUGUGGUAUUUAUUAUGUGCUUACUAAGCUCUGGGAUAGAUAGAAGAUCUUCAGGUCAGACACAGUCCCUGUGCCACAUGGGGCUCCCCGCCUAAGUGGAUCCCCAUGGACAGAUGAGGUAAGGGAGGCAUGGAGAAUUUAAGUGACUCGGCUAAGGCCAUGUAGCAUGUAAGCGGCAGAAGCAAGAUUAGAUCCCGGUCCCUCUGAUCUUUCCACUAGACCACACUGCGUCCUGGGGGAGGAGGGUGCCUAUUUACAGUUGCGGCUCUCCCCAUAGCCCGCACGCUGAACAGACAUUAGGGAAUUCAAACGGGAAAGUAGAAAGGCUGAUGGCCGGUUUCUCACUUGUUAGCUUCAUUUUAAUUAACUUCAAAACUCAGGGUGUUGGUUUGAAUUGAGAUGUUGGAGAGUAGUGCUGACGGGGGGCUUUAAUGUCCACGUCUAAUCCACGUGUCCCAAGUUCUAAAGUGAACACUGGAGUUGCGUUCUAAGAAAGACCCUGCAUUAAGCGAAACUCAACUGAUAGAAUUCACUUUGUCCAGUGCCACAGACACAGCUGCUUAUUCCCAAUACCAUUCCUUGCUGUAGCCAAAGAGAUUUGCUUUGCUGGACAGGGUUGUAACCAAAACACAACUGAAAACAUACUGUGGUUGCUCUGAAUACAUAUAUCCUGUGUUACCAAACUCCAAUCAGUCAAUAAAUUAUAUUUACUGAGCCCUUACUGAACUAAGGGUUUGGGGGAGGACAGGAUAACAAUAUAAUGGAGUUGGUGCCCAUUUCCUGCCCACAAGGAGUUUACAGUCUUAGAGGACUGUAAACUUGGCAGGGAAUGUGAAAUUUUAUUUAAGUGAGUGGGUGUGUCCUGGAAUCUGGGCAUAGAUCAGAUGGUCCUAAAACAUUUAUCGUGUGCCUGGGGCUGUUUAUGUGUCUACUGAGUGCCUACUGUGAACAGAGUGCUUUAGUGGGAAUCUGGGAGCCUACAAUAAAGAGACACAGUUCCCUCCCCUGACUCCAGUGAGCUUCCAAAACCUAAAGUGUAGAUUUUUCAUACUAUCUUGUGGGCAGGGAAUGUGUCUACCAACUCUCUUAUAAUGUACUCUCCCAAGCGUUUAAUAAAGCGCUCUGCAUGCAGUAAGCGAUUAAUAAAUACUGUGGAUUGAUUGAUAAAGCUCCUGCUAUAUGCCUCCCCUGCCCCAUUUCUGCUAGACUCUCUGCCGCUGUUUAGGUUGUGAUCCAUAACUCCCGAUUCCCAGAUGCUUGUACUAAACUGCAGUGCUCUUCCACUUGAAAGUCUCCCCAAACUCUGUUGCAGUGAGCCCUGCUUUGGUGCCGGUAGAUUGCCUGUGUUCCAUGGGCUCCUCUGUGAUCUGGUCUGGCCAUUGAGGUUCUAUGGGCAAUGCAGAAGGACAGCUCAGGGAGUCUGGUGGGACUCCCAUGGUUUCUCUAGGCCUUGGUUCUUCAGGGGCUUCAGGUCUUCAGUGUGUCCUGAAGCUUGAUUUCACGUCACCUCACUCUCCACCCCACAGGAUAGGUUAACCUACUUGAUUUGCUAUUCACCUGUCUCUGCCUCCCCGUUGUCACCUGAUGCCUGGGGAUGGGUUCGUUCGGAAAUCGGUGCGGCAGGCAGAGAGAGAGAAACUGGAGAUGGAAAGCCUGAGUUUUAUACAAAAUUUAUUCCACGAGGCGAAUUGAAUUAUUUGAUUAUUUUAGACGUGGCAAAUUGAACCUCCCUUUGGGAUGGAAUACGAUCAUUUAAUGAUGUUAGAGCUUCCCUACUGGGAGGAAUAUCUUGUGUUACUCGCAUGGGGCCAAACCCCCAGGUCCCACCCAGGAGGAAUCUACUUAUGGUUUGUUUGUUCGCGCGUGGUGAGGUGGCUAGCUCCCACCCAUGUGCACUUCCCACUCAGGAGGAAUCCACUUAUGUGUUGCAAACAAAUGGUGAAGCGCUUGUCUUCCAGCCGGUUGCUGCAAGUCUCUAUCCGCUGCACAUAAGGUCAGAGGUUGCAGGUAUUUAUCACCUGUGCUCCUAGGCCAUGCCACCUUCCGGCCGCAAUUUAUCCAAUCUCUACCCUCCCCCCUCCUGCAUACUAAUUUAAUUGGCAUGGGGGUGAGGGACAUGUUCUUUGUUCCCGGCUUGGGCUGUCAAUCUAGCAGUUUUGGCUGUUGGGGGUUGAUCAGUGCAUUUGUAACAGCAGUAGUAUUUAGCUUGACCAGAAUGUAAAGCUGUGAGAAAGUUCUAGGCAAAGAGAAGCAGCAUGGCCUAGUGGACAGAGCAUGGGGUUGGGAGUCAGAAGGACUUGGGUUCUAAUUCUGGCUUCACCACUUGUCUCUUGUGUGACCUUGGGCAAGUCAUUUCACUUACCCCAUCUGUAAAAUGGGGAUUAAGACUGUGAGCCCCAUGAAGGACAGGAACUCUGUCCAACCUGAUUACCUUUAUCUGCCCAGCCCUUAGUUCAUAAUAAUGUUGGAAUUUGUUAAGCGCUUACUAUGUGCCGAGCACUGUUCUAAGCGCUGGGGUAGAUACAGGGUCAUCAGGUUGUCCCACGUGAGGCUCACAGUUAAUCCCCAUUUUACAGAUGAGGUAACUGAGGCACAGAGAAGUUAAGUGACUUGCCCACAGUCACACAGCUGACAAGCGGCAGGGUCGGGAUUUGACCUCUGACUCCCAAGCCCGUGCUCUUUUCACUGAGCCAUGCUGUCCCCAGCACCUAGUAAGCACUUAAAUACCAUGAAAAAAAGUAUGAGUCAUGUCUGAUGGUGAUCAGAGGUAGGGAAGAUGUAGGAGAUGGCAUGCAAAGAGUCACCCACUGUUUUUUUCUAACUUGGGGUUGAGAAGAGGUUUCUGGCUUUGUGCCUAAUUUUGAGUACUAAAA